GGCACAGUGCCUGGCCUGGGAGGGUAGACACAAGCUGAGGGGAAGAAGGAACAGACAUUUGACCUCUUAGAAGGCUGGACAAAUGUCUUGAGCUUGGAAACACCAUGAGGAUCUUGGACUACUCUUUCAGUCCCCUGACGGCUGGCCAAAAAAUUUCCCAAGCAUCAGAGGACUGUCUCAGGUGGAAUACAUCCAGCAUAGUUAUCUCUAAGCAACCUGCUCCUGUUCUUCUGGGCUGGGACUGUUUCAUAGAAAUCACAGAUGGAGAAGGUCUGGAAAUGCCAGAGGUUGUCUGCAGGAGCCAGAAGAAGGUCAAGGCUGUUGACCUCCACUGCUCACUGCUCUCUUCUGAGAUAACUGGAGCUGAACCAGGGUUGUGGUGUCACAGAAGACCAGUUUAUCCCAGUUUGCUAAGGACCUGAGGACAUAAGAGACAUAUGCUUGUCAAAAGAGGCUUUCUGCAUGAGUUUCAGUGGUGAAAUUCUCCUAUGAGUAUUAAUCAGGCAUCUUCCAU
ensembl:lncRNA